GGACGCGGAUACAGACGCCUGAAGCCCCGGGGCUGCUUUUUCCGACUCGACGGCUCUGUGCCUCCGCGCAUCUCCCCCUCCCCACCUCCCACGGCCCACCUCCCCCUUCCUCCUUCCCCUCCCUCCUCCUCUCUCCCACCUCCCUAAAGAAGACCACAACUUGGGUUGAAUGCGGGGGAAAGGUGCGCCUUCCUCCCACCCUCCCCUACCUGCGUCGCGGGCCCUCCUGUCUCGGAGGCGUCCUCUGGAUUGUCGCCUCGGUGUAUCUAUCACCGGCCAAGGGAUUGGGGCCCAAACGGCGGUUCCACCAAAGCCCGAGAAGCCGGUUUCUUUUGCAGCGGUGUUCAACCUCGCUCUUUGGGCACAUCCACCAAGUCCAACUUGUGUUUUAGCUCAUUUCCUUCCAGCUAACGGGCACUUUCAUCUUCUGGCAAGGGAGCUGGGUUGUCUUGAGUUUGAUUGCCACGCCUGGGUGUAAAUGAGAACCACAAGCGGAACCCUGAAAAAUACUUAUGCCUUAACCAAAAUCUUAAACAACUUGUUGAUAUCAAAACUGCUGCACUAUGAUACAGGAUGCUUGGGGAUGACCCAGAGGGGUGGGAUGGGGAGGGAGUUGGGAGGGGGUUUCAGGAUGGGGAGCACAUGUACACCCAUGGCAGAUUCAAGUCAAUGUAUGGCAAAACCAAUGCAAUGUUGUAAAGUAAAAUAAAUAAUUUAAAAAAAAACUGCUGCACUGACUAAAACCAUAUGAGGCACUACUACAUAGCGUGGCUAAAAUUAAAAAAAGAUCGAUCGUAGUAAGUGUUGGCAAGGGUGUGGAGGAAGUGGAACUCUCAGAUACUGCUUGCGGGAGUGGAAGUGGUACAACUUUAGAAAAUGGUUUAGCAGGUGAUUAAAAAGUUAAACACAUACUUACUGCAUGACCUGGCUAUUCUACUCCUAGGUAACUGUCCAAGAGAAAUGAAAGCAUAUGUCCGCACAAUGACUUGUACACAAAUAUUCAUAGCACUUUAUUUGUUAUAAUCCCAAGUUGGAGACAACCCAACUGCCCAGCAUAGGUGAAUGGAUAAAAAAAAUAGUGUUAAAAAAAGUCAUACUGCAGAAUAUUAUUCAGCCAUAAAAUAGAACAAACUUCUGAUACAACAGUGUGGAUGAAUCUCAAAAUAAUGCUGAGUGAAAGCAGGUUAAAAAGAAGACAUGUUGAAUGGUUGAUCUUAUUUCUUUAAAUUCUUGAGAACUCGCACUAAUCUGUAGUGAGUAAAAGAACAGGAAGAGGUGGGAGGAAGGAAAAAGGGAGGAUUACAGAGGGGCACAGGGAAUUUUAAGAAACUUUCUAGGGACGUCCCUGGUGGUUAAGACUCAGCAUUUCCACUGCAGGGUACAGGUUCAACUCCUGGUCAGAGAAAUAAGAUCCCUCAUGCCCUGCAAGGCCAAGAAAAGAAACUUUCAAGGGUAAUGAACAUGUUUUGUUGAUGGUUUCCAAAUGUAUGUAUAUAUGUCAAAAAGGGACCAAAUAGUACACAGUCUCUUUCAUCUCCUGCAUGGACAGCUGGGUUCUUUACCACUAGUGCUGCCUGGGAAGAUGGUAAUAGAGGCCACACACUCUCAGACUAUCUGGUGGGACUCCAUUGAUAAGAAGGGAAGAAUUUCAACUGCUUCCAAUUUAAAUAGUUAUUUUUCUGUAUGUAUGUUUAUAUGGUAAGAUUAUAAUAGCUUGAUUAAGGCAAAAAAAUAUGAGAAUUUAUUGCAAUGGACUCUAUUCAGUAUUUUAGAACAUCAAAUUAAGAUUUAGCACUUCUUAAUGGGCACAGUUACAUUUUCUAUCUUUGGCCAUACCUUGUGGGAUCUUAGUUCCCCCAUCAGGAAUUAAAGCCAUGCCCCUGGAUUGGGAGCAGAGUCUUAGCCACUGGGCCACCAGGGCGUCCCUACAGAGUCACAUUUAAAUGCUGGUCUUCAACACUGAGCUGGAUCUAAGAUCAAUACAAAUUAUUUCCUUAAGGCAUUGGGGUUACCAACAAGGUCUUAUUCAAUAGAACCAUUUAAAUUAUGCAGUGGCUAAGACUCUGUGCUCCCAAGAUUCUAACAGCUUUGGCUAUUACAUUUACCUGGUUUUACAUAACUGUUUUGUUGACCUUUCCACUUGAAUCUGCAACAAGUUGCCUGAAACUUAUUUUGAAUAAAAUAGAAAUUUUUAUUUUCCCUCAAACCAGUGCUCCUCUUGGUCUUUCUCAUUUCAGUAAACCUGAUCUCUCCCCUUCAUACCUCAAUCCUAAACCCCAAAACCAUUAUUAAUUCUAUCUUUUAAUUCUUACCCUUGUCUAAUGCAGCAGAUGUCCUUCUGGCUCUCCCCAAAUGUAUAUCCCUUUGUCUCCGUCCUCACCUACUUAGUCCAAGCCCCAUAAACUAUCCUUUGGGCCAUUUCAAUAACUUCCCAACUGACCUUGUUCCUUACCCCCUGCCCCCAAUCCAUUCUCCAAACAGCAGCCAGAAUAAUUAAAAAUAAAAUAAAAACAAGUAAUGUUUGUGGCUCCGACAGUAAAGAAUCUGCCUGCAAUGUGGGAGACCAGGGUUCUAUCUCUAGCUCAGGAAGACCCCUGGAGAAGGGAAAAAGGAGCCUGGUGGGCUACAGUCCAUGGGUUCGCAAAGAGUCAGACAUGACUGAUGGCUAACACACACGUACACAAUGUUUACCAAUGCUUUUUAGACAAGAGGCACCAUUCUAAGUGAUUUACAGUGAAUCGUUUCAAUAGAGUCUUACGUUGUACUAGUGUUACCUUUAUUUUAUUAAUGAGGAAACUGACAUAUGGAAAUUAAAUAAUAUGUCUUCAUUUAAUGGUAGAAAUGGUGUUUGAAUCUACAUAGUCUGAUUCUAGAGCUUGAAUUAUUAACCGUUAUAUAUCACACCUCCCUGAACAUGUCAGGUUUGUCAUUCUUUGCUAGAGGAAAUUUAAACUUGCCUUUGUACUUAGGAUAAAAUCUAAACUCCUUGCCAUGACCUUCAAGGCUUUACAAGAUCUGAUGCCAGAGAAUUCCAGUGGCAGUCCAGUGGUUAGGACUCUGUAUUUUCACUGCCAAGGGCCUGGGUUCAAUUCCCACUCAGGGGAACUAAGAUCUCAUAAGCUGUGUAGCUAAAAAUUUAAAAAAAAAAAAAAAAGAUCUGAUGCCAGCUCUACCUCUCUAACCUCAUCUCAUAGCAUCUCGUAUUCUCUUCCAAAGCAAGCUGAGUUCAUGCUACACUGGCGUAUUCUUCUCUAUUCCUGAUUGAGAAACUUGGAAUUCCUACCUUCUGAAUUUUCUGAAUGGUGUCUUCACAUCCUUUCAGUCUCAGCUUAAAGGUGGCCUUCUGCCCCUUUAGGUAAGGUCCGGGAAGACAUGGAGGUGUUGCUGCAGUGUGGGGAAAGGGUGGUUUGAAGGUAGGGCCUCGGGGAACUCAGGGAGCUUUGUUUCUCCUACACUGGUGCCUUUUCUAAGAGAAAUAGUUUGAAGUAUUCAGUUUAAAUACCGUGAUCAGACUGUGAAACAUAAGGAGGUCAGAAGCUGGCAUGUUUAUGUUCUCACCCCACCCUUAGCUAUAAAAUGAGGCUAAUAAUAAUGUCUUCCUGCCCAAAUCACAGGGUGGGGGUGCAGAUAACUGGGGGUGCAGAUAACGUGGGCAAGUUUGCCUUGAAAAGUGUAAACAGGAACCAGUGCUUCAGGCUAAUGUGGUCUUCACAUCAGAGUGGUGCCUUCCUUUGUGAAUUCUGCCAAGGACCGAUUAGAGAAGGUCAACAGGCUAGAGGAGAUGCC
ensembl:lncRNA